UUUCCGUAGGUGAACCUGCGGAAGGAUCAUUGCGAAAAAGUAGAGGAGAAUGUUGGAAUGAGGGGUGAGAUAUCACGUGACAACAAUUACCAAAUUCAUACAUAACUAGCCACCUUGGAUCUCUGGGCUCUU
rnacentral:misc_RNA from 1 species